rnacentral:rRNA from 1 species
AUUGAACGCUGGCGGCAGGCCUAACACAUGUAAGUCGAGCGAGCGGCGGACGGGUGAGUAAUGUAUGGGGACUGCCCGUUAGAGGGGGCUUACUAAUGGAAACGGUAGCUAAUCCCGCAUACUAUCGGAUAACCCAUAUGGGAUUAGCUAGUUGGUGAGGUAAUGGCUCACCAUGGCAACCAUCCCUGGCUGGUCUGAGAGGAUGAUCAGCAACACUGGGACUGAGACACGGCCCAGACUCCUACGGAGGCAGCAGUGGGGAAUAUUGGACAAUGGGCGCAAGCCUGAUGAAGCCAUGCCGCUUGGAUGAAGAAGGCCCUAGGGUUGUAAAGUACUUUCAGACGGGAGGCGUUACCGACAGAAGAAGCACCGGCUAACUCCGUGCCAGCAGCCGCGGUAAUAC